UACGUAGGGGGCGAGCGUUGUCCGGAAUUAUUGGGCGUAAAGCGCGCGCAGGCGGUCUCUUAAGUCUGAUGUGAAAGCCCCCGGCUCAACCGGGGAGGGUCAUUGGAAACUGGGAGACUUGAGUGCAGGAGAGGGAAGUGGAAUUCCAUGUGUAGCGGUGAAAUGCGUAGAGAUAUGGAGGAACACCAGUGGCGAAGGCGGCUUCCUGGCCUGUAACUGACGCUGAGGCGCGAAAGCAUGGGUAUCGAAUGGG
rnacentral:rRNA from 1 species